GUUGUACGUGAGAGGAGUAACAGGUCCAGACCCUUUCUCUGACCCUGUUUUAAUAUGCUAGCUGCAUCUGGAAUCUCUAAAGACCUGUAAGACCUGCCCGGGACAGGGAGCAGACACAAAAUCCUAUGAAAAGGGUUCUGGAUGACGGCUCAGCGGAAAGAAGUGGAUCCACACGAAACCUGUUCACACCUGGGGGUUGUGGAAGUGCCCUGUACUCUAAGACAAGUGGUCCACAGGCAGAUGCUUAAGAAGUCAACAACCGUGUCCCAUACAGAAAACACGAAGUUUCUUUAACCCACUGUGCAUGUUAAAGAAAAAGGAAGUAAAGGGAAGACUCCCCGAGACUCAAUUCACAGCAUUCAAAUACAAGUUUCUGAGGUUUGAAGACCAAAGCACUGAUUUUAUAAUUAAAAUCACUUCAACUGAAGUUUCCACAUUCACGGCCAUUCUUAUAGUCAACACUCCCAUCCAUAGUGAGGUCUGGAAUGGAGCUUGCCGCCUUGGUGAGGGCAGAAAUAAGCCGCUGCUUUAAAAGAUUGUUGAGCUUGAGUUACAGGGAAGCACUUCCUAGAAUUGAAAUAUUUCUCUAAACAAUUCAAUGAAUGAUGACAUUUCUCAUCAAGUUACACCCAGCAAUGGGAGUAGCCUGCCCUGUGAAAACAGGAUGAAAGGAAAAUGGAA